rnacentral:lncRNA from 1 species
CCACAAGUAAAAAACUAAACUUUUAUAUAAAAAAAAAAAAACCAUGUUACUUAUUGUUUUAGAGUUCUACAUUUGAAAUUUCAUUGAAAAAGAAGUUAAAAUCGAUCUAGAAAUCAUCAAAUUAUCAAAUCUUAACUUUGAUGAAAAACCUCCAAAUUUUUUCUGGAAUUGUUAGUGGGUAAUGAUGAAAAAUUUAAUUAGAGACGUAUCCAAAAAAGAAAUCUUAAAAAAUCACAUUUUGAAUCUCUCUAAAUCAAAGAUCUGAGGCUCUAAGCUUAAAAAAUGAUGAAAAUAAGGACUUAACGAAAAAAGAUUUUUAAUCAAUGUUACUCUAUCCCCUUUUGCGAACACGAGAGACCUAUUGCGAACAUGACCAAAUCUCCGAGAAUGCAAUGACCAAUUGACCUAAAUUGAACUAACCCCUUACCCUUCGCAAAUUUAACUCCAACCACCGCAAACAUGACAACCAUCUGACUCCCUUCUUUGCAAAAGUGACACAAGUUAGGAUAUACUAUUAACCAUGUAGUUUGAGUUAUAGUAUUAUAUUUUCAUCCCAUGUAAAGAUAAUUUACUAUAUUAAUAAAAUCGUUAUUUUAAUAGAUCAUUGUGUUAACAUGUGUGUCCUUUACUUAUGUAGUAGACAAUUUUGUGUAUGG